rnacentral:rRNA from 1 species
UGGGGAAUAUUGGACAAUGGGGGAAACCCUGAUCCAGCGACGCCGCGUGUGUGAAGAAGGCCUGCGGGUUGUAAAGCACUUUUAGUGGGGACAAAAAGCCAUCGACUAAUACUCUGUGGUCUUGAUUUAACCCAAAGAAAAAGCACCGGCUAACUCUGUGCCAGCAGCCGCGGUAAUACAGAGGGUGCGAGCGUUAAUCGGAAUUACUGGGCGUAAAGCGCGCGUAGACGGUUUUGUAAGUCAGAUGUGAAAUCCCUGGGCUCAACCUGGGAACUGCAUUUGAUACUGCAUGGCUAGAGUAUCGAAGAGGGAAGUGGAAUUUCCGGUGUAGCGGUGAAAUGCGUAGAUAUCGGAAGGAACACCAGUGGCGAAAGCGACUUCCUGGUCGAAUACUGACGUUCAUGUGCGAAAGCGUGGGGAGCAAAC